ACCUCAGUAACGGCGAGUGAAGCGGUAACAGCUCAAAUUUGAAAUCUGGCCUCACGGUCCGAGUUGUAAUUUGUAGAGGAUGCUUCGAGCAUGGUCUGGCCUAAGUUCCUUGGAACAGGACGUCAUAGAGGGUGAGAAUCCCGUAUGCGGCCAGGUGCCUACGCUCAUGUGAAGCUCCUUCGACGAGUCGAGUUGUUUGGGAAUGCAGCUCAAAAUGGGUGGUAAAUUUCAUCUAAAGCUAAAUAUUGGCCAGAGACCGAUAGCGCACAAGUAGAGUGAUCGAAAGAUGAAAAGCACUUUGGAAAGAGAGUUAAACAGUACGUGAAAUUGUUGAAAGGGAAGCGCUUGCAACCAGACUUGCGCGCGGCCGAUCAUCCGGUGUUCUCACCGGUGCACUCGGCCGUGCUCAGGCCAGCAUCGGUUUUGGCGGCUGGAUAAAGGCCCUAGGAAUGUAGCUCCUCUCGGGGAGUGUUAUAGCCUAGGGUGCAAUGCAGCCUGCUGGGACCGAGGACCGCGCUUCGGCUAGGAUGCUGGCGUAAUGGUUGUAAGCGGCCCGUCUUGAAACACGGACCAAGGAGUCUAACAUCUAUGCGAGUGUUUGGGUGUCAAACCCAUACGCGUAAUGAAAGUGAACGGAGGUGAGAACCCUUAAGGGUGCAUCAUCGACCGGUCCUGAAGUUUACGGAAGGAUCUGAGUAAGAGCAUAGCUGUUGGG
rnacentral:rRNA from 1 species